GGUCUUGUAGUGUAGCGGUUAUCACUCGAGAUUCUGACGAUGAUCUGAAUUCUCGAAACCCAGGUUCGAUUCCUGGCAGGACCU
rnacentral:tRNA from 1 species